UACGGAGGGUGCAAGCGUUAAUCGGAAUUACUGGGCGUAAAGCGUGCGUAGGCGGUUUUUUAAGUCAGAUGUGAAAGCCCUGGGCUUAACCUGGGAAUGGCAUUUGAUACUGGAAGACUUGAGUUUAAGAGAGGGGAGUGGAAUUUCAGGUGUAGCGGUGAAAUGCGUAGAGAUCUGAAGGAACACCAGUGGCGAAGGCGGCUCCCUGGCUUAAAACUGACGCUGAGGUACGAAAGCGUGGGUAGCAAACAGGAUUAGAUACCCUGGUAGUCCACGCCGUAAACGAUGUCAACUAGCCGUUGGUCCAACAUAUCGGAUUAGUGGCGCAGCUAACGCAUUAAGUUGACCGCCUGGGGAGUACGGCCGCAAGGUUAAA
rnacentral:rRNA from 1 species